UCGCGCUGGGAGCUUGGGCGCCAGUGGUCCCGCUGAAGGGUUCCCUCCUCCUCCUCCUCCUCCUCCUUCUCCUCUUCCUCUUCUUGAGUCCGCCAGCUAACGCGGACUGGAACUCUCUCGGAAGAGUCUUCAAAAUCUGGGGUGGAUUUUAUACCUACAGCACAUGUCAAUUCAGAUUAGCCCUAUUUCAAGUACUCACGUGGCUAUGUGAAGGUCUAGGAUAUGCCUUUCCUAGAAGAAGUUAACUGGGAGGCCAAGAUAAUAAUCAGAAGACUCUCUGUGGAAGCACGGAGUCUUAACUACUGGACUGCCAGGGAAGCCCCAUGUUGUUAUACUCUUGAAGGUAUUCCCAUAGCCCUGAUCCUCUGAAGCUGUGAUUUGGCUUGCAAGAGGAAAGAAGCCUUCAUCACUGGCCUGGACGGAGCAGCCUGUGAUCAGAAAACCCUUUCACCCUCUGCUACUUACGCCUGGGAUUGGAAGACCCUGUGGGAUGAGCUGUCCAGGCUUUCCUGGGAUGAGGAUGGAAACCACCAGCACUUGUCUUGUUAAAACUAAACAAACAGUCAAAAGUAGCCUCAUAUGUUCCUUGGAAGACAUCUGACCUCCCUGACUGGAGGUACUUCACAAAAGAGUCCCCACGUCUCAAGCUCUGAAAUAGGAAUUGUGUGCCUGGAGGUGACUUCAUCUAUCCACCUGGUUCUCUCUUCCAUCCCCCAGCCAAUCUCUGCUCUUGUAUCUGCCUAUCCUUCUGACUUGGCGCUGGACCCAGGGGGCUGACACAGACUCAUUCAGGUGAAUGGCUGCUCAUACACCCAUCUUUCUUUGUUUCCAUGUGGCCUGGCUCCUCCAGGGCUCUCCCCUAUCCUGGGCUCCCGGGUUUUGGACUAGGAAGUGACCAGAAGCCUUGAAGGCUUGUAGGUGAAAGUGGACAAGAUGCUGGCAAGGGGUGUCCCAGAACAAUUCCCAGAAACAUGGAAGCAGGGAUGCAGGGUGAUGCAUCACUCCUCUUCCCCUCCUCCCUCAGAGCUGAGACUAUCAGCAGAGGCCAGAAAUCUUGGAGAGGAAAGUGCUGGGUGUGUGUAUGUA